UGCAGAGCGACAGAGACACUCGAUCUAACGCGAGAGUGUUUAAUUUGAUUAAAUAUGACUCCUAAGUUCAUAUAAACUGAAGAAAUCAGAAUUUAACUUGCAUAUAUUCAAUGAUACAGCGUGAUUGUGUGGAUUGAGCACUUUUUGAGCUUUCAUUUUGACCUGUGUGAUUAUGUAAAACCACAUGGUGCGUCGUUUUCACUGCUGUUCGCUGACGCCAUUUUGGUUGCACGUUCCUGUGAAAGACAAAAAGAGAGAGAAACACGUGAAUGGACAGGUAUUUGUCUAAAUUGUCAUUUAUUAUGAUGAUGGCACUUAUGUAUGUAUUUUAUUUGUUUCCUGUAUUGUGUACAAUUGUUCAUCAUUAUUGAUACACAAUAUUGAAUGUUUUUUCCUUUCGUAUGAACAUUUCUUGAGCUGGAUUUUCCUAAUUGAUGGCGAGCCUCCCAUUUCGACCUGAUUGGAUCACAAAUCUAGAGGAAAGGACAAAUUUCUAUUUUAAAUAUUUUUCUUCGGACAAGUAAGAGGAUACAUUUCAGAAACUGUUUCCUUAUUUUGUUUGUUUAAUUCAUUGAACUGAAACAUUUCAGAAGCACAAAUCUGAUAAUUUAAGACUGAUCAAUACUCCAAUUGAUAAGAACUUUGAACUUGAAUACGGAUUUCAGUGUGUUACAUAUAUAAUUUGUACCAUCUUUGUACAUUGAUUGUGACUGUGAUUUCUGUAAAUGAGAAGUAAUUUAGAGGGUGCACCCAUAGUAUAUAUCCCCCUUCUUCAAAUCUUACCCUGGAGGUCCGGAGCACUACAGAGUUUAGCUCCAACCCUGAUCAAACACACCUGAGCAAGCUAAUCAAGGUCUUCAUGAUCACUAGGAAAUCACAGGUGGGUAAGUUUGAUUAGGGUUGGAGCUAAACUCUGUAGUGCUCUGGACCUCCAGGGUAAGAUUUGAGGAACCCUGGUAUAUAUAUAGUUAAUUGUAUUUUCAUUGUUGUUUACUAUUUUUUUGUGAUUAAGGAAAGAAAAAGAAAGGUUUCUCAAUACUCAAAGUAAAAUAAUUUAUUAAUCAACUUA